AAUUAUGUAUUUUAUUUUUUAAAAAAGAAGCACACUGUAAAAUAGCUUUGUAACCUUCAAAAAAGGAAGGUUUCAUGUACUACGUCUCAAACUUUUCUCUAUACCAAUAAGUAUUCUUUGAUAACUCUUUUUAACAGCUGCAUAGUAUUCCAUUGUAGGUAAAUGUCUGCACAUAACUUUAAUAAUUUCCAAGUGAAAUUGCUGAGUCAAAGGUGAUUAUUUAAUAAUUUGUUUCUAAAUUGACAUCCAAAAGGAUUGAUACUAUUAGGGUUACCCUGGGGCCUUGGGCUAAAGCACCAAUGGCCAACACCUCUACAAUCUUACCUGUGCUGAGCCUUUUCCUUCCCCUCUUUCCCUCUUUCGAAGUCAUUCCUCCUUCGUCUUAGGCCUUUCUUCCCAACCUCCUUAUGCUUUAGGGCCAAUUCUUUCAAAACACCCCCCAUUUCUGUUCAAAUUACUUCUGCUUUCACAUUCCUUCUUGGAAGUUAACCUUGACUCUCACCCUUCAAGGCCUUUACUCUCCUUCAUCCCUGUUACUGCACUGGGCACACUGUAUUGCAGUUGAUUAUAUCCGGCUCCAGUUCAUCCAUCACCAUGUGCUUCUAAGAGCAGGAGUAACAAAUAUAACAAAAAUGAUAAAAUGGGGAGUUCCCAUUGUGAUGCAGUGGAAACGAACCCAACUAGUAUCCAUGAAGAUGCGGGUUCGAUCCAUGGCCUCGCUCAGUAGGUUGAGGAUCUGGCAUUGCUGUGAGCUGUGGUAUAGGCUGGCAGCUGCAGCUCUGAUUCGACCCACAGCAUGGGAACUUCCAAAUGCCACAGGUUCAGCCCUAAAAAAAAAAAAAAAAAAAAAAAAAAAGAUAAAAUGAGUCACAGUUGUCAUGUAAGAGCCUCUCUUCUGUGCCAGGAAUCAAGCAAGGCUCUCCCCACAACAACCAUAGCUUGUUUGUCUCUGCAUCCCCAGCGCUCACUACAGCUCCUGGCAAAGUGCAAGUGUGCUCAGGACAUAUUUGUUGAGUCAGUGACAGAAUGCAGUGCUUCUGGGAGCAAGUCAAAGGAGAAGGCUGCUCAUUUUGCCCCAAACAAGCAUAUCUGUUCACUCGGAUAAUACAUGACCUUUGGAGGAAAAAAAAAAAAAAAAAAAAAAAAAAAAACUUUCUCAAUUCAUGUUUCAUAGAGCAGCCGCCAGUGUGAUCUUUUUACAUUUUUAAAUCAGAUCUUGCCACCCCCUGCUUCAAAUCUCUCAGUGGCUUCCCACUGCACUGUGAAUAAAACCCAAACCACCUACUGUGGUCUCUCUAAGCCAACCGCUCUUUCUUCACUGGCCUCAUCUCCUACUCUGUUCUCUCUUCUUUCGCAAGACUCAAGGUAUACUGAUCCUCUAUUUAAAAAAAAAAAAAAAAAAAAAAAAAGAGUUCUUGGAGUUCCCUCUCUGAUGCAAUGGGAUGGACCAUGUCUCUGCAGUGGCACAGGUUUGAUCCCUGGUAGGGUGCAGUGGGUUAAGGAUCCAGUGUUGCAGCUGCAGUGUAGGUGUAACUGUGGCUCAGAUCUAAUCCCUGGCAGGGGAACUCUGUACGCUAUGGGGUGACCAAAGAAGAAAAAGAAAAAUGAGCUCUUACUAUGUACACUGAACUGAGUUUUUCAUGUGUUAUCUCACUUAAUCGUCCCAACAAUUUUAUUAGGUAGUUACUAUUAUGGUUUCCAUGUGAGAGAUGCUGGACAUGAAACACGGCGGUCUUGUCCAAGGUCACACCAUUCGCAGUGGCAGAGCUGGGGUUCAAAGCUUGAACCCUCAGCCAGUGUAUCCUGAGCUUCCUCCUUCUAGAUCACACCACCUUUGUUCUCAGGGGGUUGGGGAUUGGGGCUUUCUCUGCUGGCACGCUCUUGGCCAGUCCCUCCCAGGCUUGCCUUCUCUUCCUUAGAUCUCGGGACAAACCCCACCUCCCAAGGGAGACAGCCACUGGUGACUGGACUUAGAAUAACCCACAGGCAUUCUCUCCCAUGUGACCCUACUUUAAUUUUUUGCAUUCACGUAGCAGUCGGAUAUUCCUCUGUUUAUUUUACUCAUUUAUUGUCUGACUCCUUGCACUCGGAAUGUAAGUGCCACAAGGAUAUUGUCUGUCUAGUGCCAUAUAUUCAUACCUCAACCAGUGUCUGACACAUGACAAAGCUCCAUAAAUGUUUGCUUUUUCUUUUUUUGUCUUUUUAGGGCUGCACAUGCAGCAUAUGGAGAUUCCCAUGCUAGAGGUCAGAUUGGAGCUGUAGCUGCUGGCCACGGCCACAGCCACAGCCACGCCAAAUCCCAGCCACAUCUGUGACCUACACCACAGCUCACAGCAACACCGGAUCUGUAACCCACUGAGCGAAGCCAGGGAUCGAACCUGUGUCCUCAUGGAUGCUAGUCAGAUUUGUUUCUGCUGAGCCACAACGGGAACUCCCCAAAUGUUUGGGUUUUUUUGUGAGUUUUGUUUUGUUUUGUUUUUGGCCACCCCUGAAGCAUGUAGAAGUUGCCAGGCCAGUAAUCAAACCUGCACCAUUGCAGCAACUCAAGCCAUUUCAGUGACAAUGCCGGAUUCUUAAUCCGCUGCAUCACAAGAGAACUCCUUCUCCAUAAAUGUUUACUGACUGGUGAGUCCCUCGACUUUGUCGCAGUAAGAGUAAUCAUAGCAGUUGCAGGGAUGAGCAUUUGCUGAGCAAUGGACUAUGUGCCUGCCCAACCCUGUGUUAAUCAUCUUCCAUAUCCAUUUCCUCUAAACAGGCACAGUGCCCCGCACUGCGAGGCAGAGUAUCACACUCAUUUUACAGAUAAGGAAACUGAGCUUCACAGAAAUUAAAUAACUCGCCCAGGAUCACAAAGCUACCAAAGCCGAGGAGCUCAAAUCUAAACCCAAUUCUGACCCCCCACAUCGGUGCUCUUUCCACUCAGCUGUGCUGUGCCCUUUAUGGUCUAAUUCAAAAUCGGCUGUAGCUGACGCUCCAGUUAACAUCGAUGGCUCUGCUUCUCUCCCAAACUCAGAACCAAACCCCACUGAAUGUCCAGGCAAUUGUCCCACACCCCCUCCCUCCAGACACUCAAUGUGUUUACAACCCAACUCUCCACCUUUCCCACAAAACUCAGCUCUCCUUUGAGAAAUCUUACUCUCUGUUCACGCUACUAUUAGUUACCCAGGCAUCCAGGGCCUCUCAAAAUUCUGGUGAUAUUUUGAUCAUCCUCAGUCUUAAAAUAGAGCCCAAAUUCCUAAACAUGGUUUUGACCAUUUGCCAAAAUUUAACCCCUAACUGCCUCACCUGCAUCACUCUCUCUUCCUCACCCUAGACAUAGGCCUUCUUUCCAUUUCUCCAAUUGGCCAUGGUCCUACCCCAGUACCUUUGCACAUGCUGUCCCUUCUGCCUCGGUGUCCAGCCUUUCCUCUUCCCUUAGGUCAUUCUACAUAUCCUUCAGAAUCUAGCACAUCACUUGUUCAAGGAGGCCUUCCAGAUCUCCAGGCUUGUUCUUCUCUGAGGCACUUACUGUAACUGCAAUUAAGUGGUUGGAUGUGUAACAAUUCCUGAAGUGUCUGAUUUUCUACCAGGCUGAAGGCAUGAAAAAGGUGAAGGCUGGGUCUGCCUCGUUCAAUGCCACAUCCCCAGUUGUGUCACAUGUUGUAGGAGCUCAGUACACAUUUGUUCUUCUCUCACAUCUAAUGAGUUUGCUUGGUCAACUCCAUCUUUAUCAUGUCUGUUUCUCCCAACAGAAUGUAAGCUCCGAGAGCAGGGAUUUUUUGUUUUGUUUUGUUUUAUUCACUCCUGGUUCUCUAGCACCCAAACAAUCAUUAAAUGAAUAUAUCCAUAACUUCCUUUCUAUUUCUAAGGCCCCUGCCCUACACAUCUCAGCAGAACACCAGCUAUGACUCCCCACUGGGCUUCUAGAUUCCAGAGCCAGGGAGCGGAAUUGCUGACCAGACCAGCAGAGGGAGUGACAGACGUCAUCCCAGUGACCUUGACUUGAGUUUCCUCCUUGGGGGCCUUGGAAUCUGUGCAACAUUGUGAGACCUUCUCAUCAUGUUGUUAUCGUCUAAUGAAAACUCAUUAUAAAAUAUGGAAUUCU
rnacentral:lncRNA from 1 species